rnacentral:lncRNA from 1 species
ACAAUUCACACAUCCUAAACUUGCAUUCCAGCCUUUCCUCACCGGGACAACACUCAUGUGCAGCUUGUUUCUUAUAGCUAACCAUAGAAACACCCUAACUUUCUCCAUGAUUGCGGCUUAAUCUCCAUAUGACUAUGUAGUUAUUGGCGAGAGUCAUUCCUUACCAUUGCGGCCUAAGGAUCAUAGAAGAUCACAUUGAUUAAGAGAUUUUUGAAUAUAGUGUAACAAUUUAAAAAAUUUUCUAAUUGGCAAUAAUUAUGCAGCCCA